AUGGCUCAGCGCUGGCGUGACAACCAUACUGCUAUUGUCUUGCAUAUCAAAAGGAAAUUAUUUGACAGUCCUGAUGCUUAUAUAUCUUGGGAUGUGAGUGCAUUGCUCUUUUAUCAACAGGGAAGACCAGGAAUCCCAGCAGGCACUGGCAUGAAAGGAUAUAAGGGACUUCAAGGUCUUUCUGGAAACCGUGGAGUUGAUGGAACUCAUGGGCCACCUGGACAUAUAGGUAUGCCAGGACAAGAUGGAGAAACUGGACCACGGGGAGAAAAGGUAGUUCUUUUUCUCAAAUCAUCAAUUAUCAUCAACAUAAAAUGGUGCUCAUAUAUACUUGUCAGAUCACAUAAGUGAAGUGAAGUGUGACAGUGCUUAUGAAUGCAAUGUGAUUAUUGAAUAUGAUGAAUAUGUUGAAGAGACCUGAAACAGACCUGCAGUCUCAUAGAUUAUCAUUUUUUAUUAGGGAAUGUUGGGAAAACCAGGUCCUCCUGGAAUUCAAGGUCCUGUAGGCCAAAGUGUAAGUAUGUCCAGGAAUGAAUAGUCCCACUAUAUGCUCAGGCUAUUCAGUAUGUACAAACCCUGUACAAAUCAAAGAACAGCUUUAAUAGACCGACAUUGCCAAAUUGAUCACCAAAAUAGACCAAUUAGCACCAGUGAGAUUAUAUUUGCCAGACAAGUCUUUUGUUAGUUAGCUAGUUAUCUUGCUAGUUUAGAUU
rnacentral:lncRNA from 1 species